GACGUAGGGGCGAGCGUUGUCCGGAUUCACUGGGCGUAAAGCGCGUGCAGGCGGCCUGUUAAGUCCCGUGUGAAAGCCUUCGGCUCAACCGGAGGAGGUCGCGGGAAACUGGCGGGCUUGAGGGUGGUAGAGGGUGGUGGAAUUCCCGGUGUAGCGGUGAAAUGCGUAGAUAUCGGGAGGAACGCCAGUGGCGAAGGCGGCCACCUGGGCCAUCCCUGACGCUGAGACGCGAAAGCUGGGGGGA
rnacentral:rRNA from 1 species